rnacentral:misc_RNA from 1 species
AACCGCCGAGCCUUGCGGAUGAUCUAAAUUUGCACUCUCACAGUAUUAUUGCGUCUUCGCAAUACUUCAUCACACUUGAAAGAAAUUUUUCUCCGUUCUAAAACACGGCGAGUAUCUCGCUUACGUUUUGACGUCAUGAUCAACAUGCCGGUCAUGGCAUCCUACGGUACGUGCAUAUCCAUGAAUGAACUGCGCAAAUAAGAACAGUGGGCCAAGUAUUGAUUACAGUGGCUAACCAUCGUCAAAGUGUAUUGUGCGUAUACGUAUUUUCCAAUGUCAGAUGUUUGUGAGAAUUCGAGUUCCGUCGUGGAGGACGGAUCGCCUCCGAGAAUCGCUACUUUUUUUACGAAAAAAAUGGAUCAAGACGUUCCGAAGUUGCUGGAUCGCGAAGACGCGUUCUUCUGGCCAAAUUCUGACCCGACAGUAUGGAUGAGGUCAUGUGAACACGAAGUUAUCGAACCGAUGUCAGGGAAAAAUUUCGGCACUAUGCCCACCUGGUUGAAAGGGACCUUACUGAGGAAUGGACCGGGGAGUUUGAAAGUUGGCGAAUACAGAUUCGACCAUUUAUUCGACAGCUCAGCGCUACUGCACAGGUUUGAGAUAAAGGAUGGAAAAGUGACUUAUCAGAGACGGUUUGUCCAGACUGACGCUUACAAGAGAAAUCAUGCAGCCCAAAGGAUAGUUCUAACUGAAUUCGGAACGAGCGUCGUACCGGAUCCGUGUAGAACAAUUUUCCAAAGAGUGGCGGCUGUUUUCAACGCCGAGGACACGAUGACUGACAAUUCGAUGAUAUCGGUCUACCCAUUCGGUGAUGAAUUUUACACCUUCACCGAGGCGCCAUUCAUCCAUCGGAUAGACCCGGAGACUUUGGAAACGAAAAGCAAGCUUUGCAUAUCCAAUUACGUGGGCGUAGUUAAUCACACUGCGCAUCCGCAUGUAAUGACCGAUGGGACCGUGUAUAACCUCGGGAUGAGCAUCACGGCACGAGGACCUGCCUACAGUGUGAUUUGCUUUCCACCAAACCGCAUCACUGUCGACGAAACGGGGAACGAGAAGAAACUGUCGAUGUUCGAUCAGGCCACCGUUGUUGCGACCGUCCACUCGAGAUGGACGUUGAAUCCGUCGUACAUGCACACGUUUGGAAUAACCGACAAUUACUUUAUAAUCAUCGAACAGCCACUGUCCGUCGCAUUGCUGACCAUGGCAGUGAGUCAGUUUACGAAUGAUCGUUUAUGCAGUUGCCUCAAGUGGUACGAAAACGAAAAGACUCUGAUACACCUGAUCUCCCGGAAAACUGGUCUGAUCGAGAGAACUUUCGUUGCGGAGCCGUUCUUCUUCCUUCACAUAAUCAAUCAGUUCGAAACCAGUGACGGAAAAUAUGUUGUUUUGGAUGUUUGCUGUUACAAAGAUGCAAAAAUGCUCGACUGCAUGUACAUCGACGUUAUGAAGGACAUGCAUUCAAACCCUGACUACGCGAAGUUGUUUCGUGGCCGACCAUUGCGUUUCAUAUUGCCAAUUGUUCCUCUAACGGCUGACGUUCCUAAGGAAUACGACUUGAUCGAAGAUCCAAUCGAGUGUAGAAAUCCGGUGAUAAUUACCGACAGAGAUAAAACGAAGGAUGAAGCAAAGGCAGAUUUGAACGAGAAGUCUGCAGUAUUUGAUGGUAUUGUUCGAAAAAAAGCCACGGCGGAACGACUUUCGAAUGGAAAAGUUUUCGUGAGCCCGGAAAUGCUUUGCGAUUUAGGCUGCGAGACACCCAGGAUAAAAUAUUCUCUCGUGGGAAAAGAGUACAGAUAUUUUUACGCCAUAUCUAGCGAUGUUGAUAUGGACAAUCCAGGAACGAUCAUCAAAGUGGAUACUGUCACGAAAACUACGAAAACUUGGUGCGAGAAUAACGUUUUUCCUAGUGAGCCGAUAUUCGUUCCAAAUCCAAACGGAAAGAAAGAAGACGAUGGUGUCAUAGUUUCGGCUCUUAUCUGGGGACAAGAUCGAGAAACUGAGGUUGGGCUGUUGGUGUUGGAUGCAGAAACGUUGGAGGAAAUAGCUCGUUCGACGUUCGAUACGCCGGGACCAGUGCCGAAAUGUUUGCACGCAAUUUUCAUGGGCCAUUCGUCACUUGCGCAAAACUUCUAUCCUUAAUUCAAGUCGUCAUGUUUCAUCAACGUUUUACUUACAAUUUUUACAAACCGAAUGAAGAUAAUAUUUUUCUUCGAGAUCGAAUUGUCGUUACACGAACGAUUUAAAUAAUAUACAAUGCUCAAAUAUAACGAAUAAUAUGUGAAAUAUAAAAUUUGAAUUCACAAAAAAAAAAUCAAUUCUAAAAAGUAACGCAGCAUAAAAACAUUAGGAACAAGAUCAGAAGUAUUGUUGUUCGUUCGAAUUCGAUGAAAUAGUGAAAAUCAACAGACCUGAGUAAUGUUAGCGACACAGUUACCUACGCUAUAGUAUAUGCAUAAGUGUAUAACGUAUAAUAUAACAGGUGUAUGAAAUAUAAUCUAAUCUAUGUUAAUGUUGUCAACAGAAAACAUUUUUUUAU